AUACGUAGGGUGCUAGCGUUAAUCGGAAUUACUGGGCGUAAAGGGCGCGCAGGCGGCUUGGGAAGUCUUGGGUGAAAGCCCCCAGCUCAACUGGGGAACGGCCUGAGAAACCACUAGGCUGGAGUGCUGGAGAGGGAAGCGGAAUUCCCGGUGGAGCGGUGAAAUGCGUAGAUAUCGGGAGGAACACCAGAGGCGAAGGCGGCUUCCUGGACAGACACUGACGCUGAGGCGCGAAAGCUAGGGGAGCAAACGGGAUUAGAAACCCCAGUAGUCC
rnacentral:rRNA from 1 species